GCCCAGAGGAGGUCACAGAAGAAGACAGCACAGAGAGGAGAUCUGGCGAAGCAGACGGAGGGCGAGGAAGGCGGCAUGGAAGUGUCAUCGCUGGAAAGCACGCUGCCACCAGGAGUGAUCCGGCAGAGUCUCGGCUCCUUUCCCACAUGGACCCUUCCAUGACAAGGGCGCUGGGACUAAAGCCAGCAAGCUAUGGAAACAUUGGCCAGGAACAGAAAGGCCCUUCUGGAAAGCUGCACAGACAGUGCCCGCCUCCACCCCCAUACCGCCAGGCCCCAAGGCCCAAGACAGCCCCAUCUAGCGGGUCCCCCCCACCCCAUGCAUGUCUGCCUAUCGGCACAUUUGUGAGGACCCAACCCCACUUUCCAGACAGCAAAUCCUCACCAAGGUGCUCAGUGAACCACUUCGCCUGCCAUGCACACGUCUGUGCGUGAAAAUCGAGGGAGCAUGCAGCCAGGCCGCCCGGGGCGCAUGUGUGUCACCACCACCUAAGCGUUCAACAGGAGGAACAUCGUGUGCGAGACUUGUGUGCACUUGGACAGCCUAUCCUCACAGGGGCAUAAGGGCAGUAAGAUCUGACAUAAAACGAAUAACGUGUUGUUCCAUAACCUGGCUUUCAAAAAAUGACAUUUCCUUCUGGCAGGCCUCUCUCUGUCCCCGCCCAGAGAAAAUGCCUCUCAGCCUACUAUCACAGGCCGUUUCUGUAAUGUAACAAUGUGUCCAGACUGUAUUAGGAAUAUGGAUGUAAAACUGCAAGCUAGAAAAGCUUUGUAACCAUGCAUUCACCCGUGUAUCUCCUAGGCCAUGACGAAGCAAUCGUACUGAUUACACCAGGCCAUCAUGAAGCAUUCACCCUUCAUUGGUUACUGGACAACAGGAGAGUUUGAACAGUUAAGUGUUCUGGGGACCAAACGUUAUACAUGGAUUUUCAAUUGUGGGCAGGGUGGAACCCCGAACACCAAGUUGUUCUACGGUCAGCUCUACUCAUCCUUGGGGAAGAACGAAGCAAGCAGGACCUUUGUGAACAACAGAAAAGAGUAAAAUAGAAAUAGAUUUUCUGUUUUAA